GACGUAGGGCGCGAGCGUUGUCCGGAUUUAUUGGGCGUAAAGAGCUCGUAGGCGGCUUGUCGCGUCGACUGUGAAAUCCCGAGGCUCCAACUUCGGGCUUGCAGUCGAUACGGGGCAGGCUAGGAGUUCGGUAGGGGAGACUGGAAUUCCUGGUGUAGCGGUGAAAUGCGCAGAUAUCAGGAGGAACACCGAUGGCGAAGGCAGGUCUCUGGGCCGGAUACUGACGCUGAGGAGCGAAAGCGUGGGGAGCGAACAGG
rnacentral:rRNA from 1 species